CUUGAGAUUUCCUCAAAUGUGGGAAUUUCAACUGUAUAAUGUGUGCUAGUGGGGAACUGCAUUUGUGCUUUCCCUUG
rnacentral:snRNA from 1 species